CCAGCUUCAAGCUGGGAGUUCUGUAUCUUCAGUUGAAUGAUAUUUCUAGCAGUCUGAAGAGGGAACCUCAGCAUUUGAAAAAAAAAUCUACCUCAUCACUGGUCUGCUCCAACACUGGCAAUCUUAAACACUCAGAAGAGUCCCUGAUGACCUGGCUUUCUCAUUGUGGCUUCAGUGCAAUAGAAGAAUGUACUCUCUUGUGAAUCACUGGCCAUGGGACCUCACUCCUUAGAGACAUCUGUCCACUGAGACCUCACUUUACUGUUGCAGUGACUAAGUAGGAAAUAGGAACCUCAAGUUGCGUCCAGCCCAGGACAAGAGGUUAGAGUGCAACCUCUAGACUUCAGGAAAGUGAUGCUGCAGUCAACAACUCCUCAGAGCCAUGGUGCAGCCCCAGCCCCUGCUCCCAUGACACAGCCCUGCACCUGAGCAGCACGCAGAUCUCAGGACCAUGCUUCUACAGCCAAAAACCUUUUCAUGGUGCCAGGACACUGAGCUUUUACACUAUCCAGCUGCCAUGGAGAUUUGGCCAGCUGAUUUAUUGCAAUCAGUUAUUAGUGCUGUACAUUGGUACUUUGAACAUGCACCCUAACCAGGAUGUCUUUCAGCUUGUUCAAAAGCUAAGUAAAAUGGUUUUUUUUUUCCUUCAUAUCGUUUCUCUCUUGUAUAAUCUGUAUGCCUUCAGUAAUAUAUAUGCAUUGCAUAUGUUCAUAGCAUACCCAUGCAAUAUAUGUAUGUAUUUAUCAGAUGCUCAUUCACAAAACCAAAUACAAAUAUAAAUUCAGGCAACAUGUGGUGUUUCAGUAAUCACCUUCAUGUUUGCUCUUCAGCAAGAAUAAGCCCUAAAUUAAAGGUAUAUAGACCUCCCUCCUUGGUGUGCUUACACAUAUAUUAUAUGUGUACAUACAUAUUUAUCAACAUAUAAAUGAAUAGUAUUUUCACUGUAUGAAUAACCCAAUGAAGUGAGAUGGUACAACAUAUAACUGAAUUGGUAAAAUGUUCCCUGUAGGGUGGUGAUAAUUCACAACAUCCUGAAUCUAUGACAAUAAAUACAGAGACAGUUUAUCAAGGAGAAAACAGCAACUUGCCUCUGUAAAAGAAUACUCUUGCAGAAUUACCCAUCUACCCCACUGAAACCACAGGGUUACAGUCCCACCCUUUUCUGUUACCAGGCUAGGAACAGAAAUUUUGCAG
rnacentral:lncRNA from 1 species